AUGCUUCCUCCCAUGGGAUCAGCUUUGUUAUGAGCCAGGCGAUGUGGGGCAUGCCCCCUGACGAGGGUCUCAUUCUGGGCUCAUAGAGUGCAUUGUUCAGGGAAGUGCACUAGAGCAGUGCUACUCAAAGUGGUGGCCCAUGGAAAGCUUCCAUUAAAUAAAUAAACAGUUAUAGCCAAUGGACACAGAUAUUGUAUUAGUCCUUGACACAUUGAAAAAAUAUUAUUGGUCCCUCAGAUCAGAUGGCAUGAGAUGCUCUGACCCAGAACUCUCUAGCAAGGACAUUGGAGGUUACAUACACAACAAAGCCAUAAUGGCAUAUAACAUUUAGUUUGACCCUGUCUCUGCUAUUGUCAGUAGUGAUGGAGUAGUUCAGAUCUGGGCAGCCGGCAUGGACCAACCCUAAAGCUAUGGGCAGGCUCUGAAACUAGUGUUUUGUUCUUCUAGCAGUAAAAAUAUAUUGAAAAAAUAUUGGACAAAGCAUUUUAAAACUAGAAGAGAUGAAAUGCACAGGUCUGCAUAGCUCAUAUAAUGUCUGUGCUAUAAGAAUAUACUAUUUUCUGAUACGUUCUCUUCUUCAUCUGCUGUGAUGUAUUUACUUAGUGAAAUAGCAUAGAGUUGAUAGUGUUGUGGAGUGCAAGGAAGACAGACUAAUGAACAAUUUCUAUUGGAUCACAUAGCAUCUGCUAAUACUUGGGAUUCCUAUAAGAAACUCAGUAGGGUGGACUUUUGUGUGAUCCAUCAAUACAUUGCCUAUGUUUAUGCAGGUGUGAAUACUAAGGACCAAGGUGUGAUGUUCUAUAAACAGAAAAGCAAUGAACUAUCUGGUUUAAUUUAUUGCAGAUCUACCCUAAACACUGUGCACUGAUUUACCAGCAAGAUCAAACUUAUAUUCUUCCUGUCCAAUCCAAAACAAAAAAAUAGAGGGAGAGGAGAGAAAUCUCACUGGCUCUAGUGGAAACUAUUUUUAUUGCAUUGUUAUUGUUAUUGUUGAACUAUUUUACAUUGCAUUCUAAGCAUAGGCAGGUGGGCCAGUUAGGAUUCCAGUUAGGCUAGAAAAUAAUGAUAUCAGCUUCUCCUCUCAGAACAAGGUGUUUCAGAUAACAAUGGUCCUGACUCUCUGAAGUGCCUGUAAUUUGCUAAAGCAAACAGGAUAUGAAGCUGCAUGCUAAGAAUUUACAGAAUGCCUCGAUGCAGAUUUUUGUGCAUUGAGCAUUAGGAGAUCCUGCAUAUAUUCUGCUUGUUUAGUAAAUCAAACGUAUUAAAGAAAUAAUAGGGAUUUUAAAAAUAAAAGGCAGAUAAAACAAGAUGCAGUGUACCCACCUUUCUUUUGUAAAACCAGAAUAAAGCCAUGUUUAAUUUGCACUUCAAAUGUGAACAAAUUUUAACUGUCUUGACUUCAGAAAUCACUGUAUAUAGAGUCACAGAGUUAUAGAGCUGAUUGGAACCCAAAAAACUAUGCAUUCCUUGCCAGUGCAGGAACCUGCUGUUCAAGCAUCUCUCACAGGGAACCAUCCAACCUCUAAUUAAAUCUCUCUAGCAAAGGAGAAUCUCCUUCCUUGUAAUCUGAAUCUUUCAGUAAAGAUCUUACCCCCAUAACAGCAAACAAACAAACAAACAAAACAACAAAAAUAACCAAUCAACCAAAAACCAAAGCAAAACCACAAACUUAUUCCUUCUUUCAUUUGGCAGCCCUUCACAUAUUUGGCCAUCUUAUGUACCUCUCAAUCUUCUCCAGGCUAAGCAGAUUUCACUUCCUCAAUAGUUCCUCAUUAGAGUUGAUUUCUAAACACUCUACCAUUUUGACUGACAUCUUCAAGACAAACAAAUACUAGGAUGAGAAGAAAAAUC
rnacentral:lncRNA from 1 species